rnacentral:rRNA from 1 species
AUUGAACGCUGGCGGCAGGACUAACACAUGCAAGUCGAGCGAGCGGCGGACGGGGCAGUAAUGUAUGGAGGCUGCCCGAUAGAGGGGGCUAACUGCUGGCACCGGUAGCUAAUCCCGCAUACUAUCGGAUAACCAAUAUGGGAGUAGCUAGUAGGUGAGGUAAUGGCCACCAUAGGAGACGAUCCCUAGCUGGUAUGAGAGUAGGAUCAGCCACACUGGGACUGAGCCACGGCCCAGACUCCUACGGAGGAAGCAGUGGGGAAGAGGGCACAAUGGGCGCAAGCCUGAUGCAGCCAGGCCGAGGGUAUGAAGAAGGCCCUAGGGUUGUAAAGUACUUUCAGUCGGGAGGCGUUACCGACAGAAGAAGCACCGGCUAACUCCGUGCCAGCAGCCGCGGUAAUUC